rnacentral:piRNA from 1 species
UGGGAAGGUUUUGGAGCAUGGAGAGCCUG